CGCUGGCGGCGUGCCUAAAACAUGCAAGUCGAACGCAGGGCUUCGGCCCUGAGUGGCGGACGGCUGAGUAACGCGUGGGUGACCUGACCUCGAGUGGGGAAUAACUGCCCGAAAGGGUGGCUAGACCGCAUGAGCUCUCCGGACCGAUCCGGCGAGGAAAGCCCGCAAGGGUGCUGGAGGAGGGGCCCGCGUCCGAUUAGCUGGUUGGUGGGGUAACGGCCUACCAAGGCGACGAUCGGUAGCUGGUCUGAGAGGAUGAUCAGCCAGACUGGGACUGAGAGACGGCCCAGACUCCUACGGGAGGCAGCAGUUAGGAAUUUUGGGCAAUGGGCGAAAGCCUGACCCAGCAACGCCGCGUGGGUGACGACGGCCUUCGGGUUGUAAAGCCCUUUUCUCGGGGAAGAUGAUGACGGUACCCGAGGAAGAAGCACCGGCUAACUACGUGCCAGCAGCCGCGGUAAUACGUAGGGUGCGAGCGUUGCCCGGAUUUAUUGGGCGUAAAGGGCGCGUANGCGGCCCGGCGCGUCGGCUGUGAAAACUCCCGGCUCAACUGG
rnacentral:rRNA from 1 species